UAUGUGCAUAAAUCUGUAUUUAUCUAAUCUCUAUUUCUCUAUUGAGAGAGUGUGUGUGUGAAGAAAGAAAAAGAGACAGUGAAAGAGAAGAGACCUACUAUUUGAUAGCAUAAUAAGGGCCUCCCUUGCCGGUGUUCCUGUUUAGCCCUCCUGGGACCUCCUCUUCCAGGCAUUACUGCUACCAGAUAAUUGAGGCUUGGAACCUCCAGGUGUCAGAGAGUGAUGCACUUUUGAAACCCUCCAAGUGAUGAAAAUCAGAGCUUGUUCAUGACUACGGAUGAAAGCAUUCAGUCAUUUACCAGGUCUAUGUAAGUAUAAGUACGUACUUCUAUUUGACAUUUAGGAUCACCCCUCACAUUUUUGUAUGUAUUUAUGUAUUUAACAGCACGAUUUCUGAAGGACCAUGGAAGUGUUUAUUCCUGUUACUCGUAUUCCUGAACAUCACCCACUAGACUUCAAUUUUACUUGAGAAAAGCCAGUCAUAUUACUCCAACUAGAACUGGGCAGUGCUUAUAUAGACCUGAUGAAUUUGUAGGAUUUAUGAAAGUAUACUUCAAGGAUCCAAUGGUUCAGGGAUUUAAUUCUAUAAAAUGAAAUUCAUAAGAAAGAAUGGUGUUGCAGCCUACAUUUUACUUUUCAAUGUCUGUUUCAAAAUUGAAUUGUUAGUCUCUUAGAGAACUUCUACCUGUACCUGAUGGAGUAACUUGCCCUCUCAGCAUAAACAACUAUAAACUGAAUAAAAUAUUUAAUACCA